rnacentral:rRNA from 4 species
AACGACUCUCGGCAACGGAUAUCUCGGCUCUCGCAUCGAUGAAGAACGUAGCGAAAUGCGAUACUUGGUGUGAAUUGCAGAAUCCCGUGAACCAUCGAGUUUUUGAACGCAAGUUGCGCCCUAAGCCGCUAGGCAAGGGCACGUCUGCCUGGGUGUCACGC